rnacentral:rRNA from 1 species
CCUACGUGUGGCAGCAGUGAGGAAUAUUGGUCAAUGGACGAGAGUCUGAAGCAGCCAAGUAGCGUGAAGGAUGACUGCCCUAUGGGUUGUAAACUUCUUUUAUAUGGGAAUAAAAUGUUCCCCGUGUGGGAUUUUGUAUGUACCAUAUGAAUAAGGAUCGGCUAACUACGUGCCAGCAGCCGCGGUAAUCCGGAGGAUACGAGCGUUAUCCGGAUUUAUUGGGUGUAAAGGGAGCGUAGGUGGAUUGUUAAGUGAGUUGCGAAAGUUUGCGGCGCAACCGUAAAAUUGCAGUUGAAACUGGCAGUCUUGAGUACAGUAGAGGUGAGCGGAAUUCGUGGUGUAGCGGUGAAAUGCUUAGAUAUCACGAAGAACUCCGAUUGCGAAGGCAGCUCACUGGACUGCAACGGACACUGAGGCUCGAAAGUGUGGGUAUCAAACAGGAUUAGAUACCCCUGUAGUC